ACAACUGAAAGGUUCCAAGGUUCCUUUUAAGUCAUAUAAUGUGGAGAGAGAGAGAGAGAGCAGAGCUUCUUCAAACAAUGGUUAGAGAGAGAUGGGGGGUGGGUUUUUAGAGAGAGAGGGAAUAUUUGUAGAUGGGACGAGGAGGAAGGUUCGGGGAUCGGGUUUUGAAGUUUGAGAGAUACGCCUGCAGAGAAUAAAGGUGGGAUGGUGGGAAGAGAGAGAGAUAAAGGAAAAAGGGUAGACAAUAAUUAAAAACUAAAAAUAAAAAUAAAGGAAGGGUUGGGAGUGUAGCUUCUUACAAGGAACAAAGGUGGAAAAAAAGUUGUGAGGACGGUUUGUGGCAGGGUGCAUGUGAAACCAAUUCCUUGGCCUAUGCUCAUCUUUUCUCUCUCUAAUUGACUCACGGUCCCCUUCAACUUAUUCUCUCUCUUUCAUUGAGUCAUGGUUUUCUUCAACUCUCACUCUCGUGAUGGUCCUUUAACUCUCUCUUAUGUGAAAAAGUGGCUUUUGAUUGUUUAUUUGGA
rnacentral:lncRNA from 1 species